CCGAGUUUACAACUCCCAAACCCAAUGUGAACGCUACCAAACUGUUGCCUCGGCGGGAUCUCUGCCCCGGGCGCGUCGCAGCCCCGGACCAAGGCGCCCGCCGGAGGACCAAACCAAAACUCUUAUUGUAUACCCCCUCGCGGGUUUUUCUUUAAUAAUCUGAGCCUUCUCAGCGCCCCCUCGUGGGCGUUUCGAAAAUGAAUCA
rnacentral:misc_RNA from 1 species